UACAGAGGGGGCAAGCGUUAUUCGGAAUUACUGGGCGUAAAGCGUGCGCAGGCGGUGAUGUAAGACAGUUGUGAAAUCCCCGGGCUCAACCUGGGAACUGCAUCUGUGACUGCAUUGCUGGAGUGCGGCAGAGGGGGAUGGAAUUCCGCGUGUAGCAGUGAAAUGCGUAGAUAUGCGGAGGAACACCGAUGGCGAAGGCAAUCCCCUGGGCCUGCACUGACGCUCAUGCACGAAAGCGUGGGGAGCAAACAGG
rnacentral:rRNA from 1 species